GAACUUUCAAGGGAAACUUGUAAGGAAUUAGUGCCGCCUUGUUCCCCAAUUUGCUGCUCGUCUGACCUCCAGACUCACUGGCGUCAGGAAUUAUCUUGUGACCAGAGGGGGGAAAAAAUUAAUUGCGGUGAAGCUGAGGUUACAAUGAAGAAAACAGAUUUGGGCUAGGCGCUGAGAUUGCAGAAGGAGGAGGGGGAAGGGAGGACUGAGCAGAGAACACUAUUUAUUUGAGCAGCAGGGGAAAAUGAGGUAAUCUUGAGCAAAUCCAGAGAUCAUGGCUUUGAUCAGGUGUAUGAGGAGAGAGAGACGGAGAGAGACAGAGAGAUGGCACUAAGAGGUUGUUAUAAAUACUUUCUGACUCAGAACUCCAGAUGGACAGUUGGACGAGGAGUAUAGAACUGCACAGGGCCGGGGACAGGGCAUAUAAAGGUGUCGUAUCAAAUCACAGAACUUUUCCCACAAUCCUAUUUUUUGUUGAGGAAUCCGCUCCUUUGCCCAGCUGUGGGUCCGGGUCCCACAGCUGUGUUGAUCUAAGACUCAGCCCCAGACAGCCUGGCGCCAGGGUGGGACGUCAUGCGUUCACACAGGGAUGCGUGUCCCAGGCAACCUUUCCUCGGGCAGUCACCGGCCGGCGACUGCCUCUCCCACCAAUGAGCGCCGGACACCCGAGAUAGGGGCGGGGCCUGCGCCACCCCAGCCGGCGAGCGGCUUGUGAAUAGCAGAUGCAGAGACCUUGAUAAGGUUCCCUGAAUUGGGGCCCUUUAAAGCCCCCCUUUCUCUUUGAGUUCUUUUGUUUCUCCCUUUUCUUUCCACCUUCCUCCUUUCUAUCUGUACAUAGAUAGCUUUUCUCUUUCCUUUUCCCCUCUUUUAACUAUCUCCUCCUAGUGUCAGGAAUCAUUUUGUAAGCAUUUCCAGGAACUGUAUCUUCUCCUGCCAAAAGUAUA